CCCUUCUCCCAACUUCUAUCUUCCGAUCAUUUUUGAUCCCGAACCUGCUCCCAACUCCUCAUCUCACACGGCCUUCUCCAUCCAACUCCUCUCCGGCAAACUCCUCUCCGGCCUCCAGAUCCGGGGCGUCGGCGAACUCCUACAUCGGGAGCCUCAAAAGCUUGACCUUCAAGAGCGAGAUCAGAUACGAUAGUUUGCUUUAUGCCCAAUUCAUCUUGUAAACACAUGUUAAUACUUGAUCCUCUCGUUUCCCUCCCAGUGAUUCCAGCAAUUUGGAGGAUGGACAAAGACGAUUCAGUUUUGCCUCGAUUGAUUUAUCUCUUCGGCGUGCUCGAUAUUCCCCACAAGCUAUUUAAAACUUUGACGCUUUGAUUUUUCUACUGGAAUCGAAGGCUUUUCUUAUUUUCUUCUAAAUCUCGACAUCUGAUCCUACUAAUGUUGCAACAAAUCAUGGUUCAUGCUACUUUGCCUUUUGAGACGAUCCAGAUGAAGUUAAAGCAAGACUCAAGUAUUGGGCACAAACAGUAGCAUGUACUCUACGGUUAUGCAGCUGAAGUUGUGCCUAUCCUUUAAAGUUCAUCUACAUCCGAAAGAAGCAAGAUCCAUGCAAUCCGCUGUAAGAGCUAUCCUCUAGUGUUUACAAUCAAUGCUGAAGAUGGCAACUAAAGUCCCUUCACAAUAAACAGAGAUGAAUAAAAGUAAUGGUUCAUUAUAACCUUUGAGGAAGAAUAACUCUACAAGUUCAUGUACUAUACAUGCCGAAUAAAUGAUUCUUCUUCUUAUAAAUGUUGUCCAUGUACCUCAGUGGUGAUCCAUUGGUAAUUUGUGUUCAUGUUGAUGAAUCUGUAGACUAGUUUUGGUUCAUGGUCUUGUUUUAUCAUGGCUAUCAUAGUUCAGUUAGCAGGUGCCUGAACUCUGAAGCUUGGGAACUCCCAAUUCUAUACUGGUCGGGAUCUAGAAGGAAAGCCAUCGGGUUAAUUUCUUUUCCCAGACCUUCCUCAGGAAAACUUGAUACUCCUCAGCGACUAAGGAAACAGUAUCAUUGCAGAUUCAAGCUUCUGGUUGGCAUGAUCUAAUUGAGACUGAAAGGAGAUUUGCAUAUGUACUCAAUGCUGAACCAAUCUAGGUUUGAUCCAACCACAGAAAGAACCUUGUUGAUACUCAAAUAAUCUUGAAAUGGUAGCUUCAAUGUUUAUACUAUUAUAUAAUAAAUCACUUAGAGUUGACGGUGUAAGAGG